rfam:Candidatus Micrarchaeum sp. AZ1 Contig1, whole genome shotgun sequence.
GGGGAGUUACGCUAACCUGGCAGACUGCGAGCCUUGGGCGCUCGCUAUAGGAGUUCAAAUCUCCUACUCCCCA